GCUUCUUUUGUUUGUCAAACUGUGCUGGGCUCCGUUGUUGCUCCUCCGACCUCUGGAUCGAUCUGUCCUGUUGUUUGCUGGCAGGAAGCUACACUGCAUAGACGAAAUUGUGGACUUGUUUACCUGGCAGCGUGGUAAUUUACCAGUCACAGCCACCUGAGGAGCCUCUGAUCAGCAUUCAACGUGGAUUGACACUCACUGCUGUUUUGCCUAUGAAGACAUGUUUUAAAAAAACUGACCUGAACUUUCUCCUGCUGCACGAUUUAUGGGAUGCAGUGCAAUAUUGUAGUGCCAUUGUAUCAUUGUUUUACUCAUAUUGUUUGUUUUGUCUUUCAUUUAGGGAAUGCGGCUACUGUGGUGGCAGUGAUGACCCCUGGUGGUGGUGUUUUUGUUUGUUUGUUGUGUUGGAGCACCCUUUGUUUGUGUUUGUUGUGAUUUUGUAGUGUCCAGGGUGGUCCCUUUUCUUCACUAGAUGUAGCCCCCCUUCUCACCAGU